ACGAUGAGUACCUCGGUGAAAGGUGUUGGAGUGGGCGGGACAUCGGCACCUGUCCACAGAGCAGAGGACCAAUCAGAGGGCAGCUUGUUAUAAACAACACAGCUCAAUGAAGAUCCAGAGCAUAGAGACGGUUCUACGGAUAAAUGAUGGUUCCCUGGUUCUGGACUGACACCUGGUCCACUAGAGAGGUGGACCUGCGCGGAGGAAAGGUACUUUAAUGCUUCCUUGUCUCCUUGAGCAAAGGGAACGCUGGACCCUCCUUGUGGUAGCAGUAGUCGCUCCUGUUAAUCACAAACCCAGCUGGGCUUAUCAACCGCGUUGCUAUGACGACAACCGUUGUACCUCGACACGUUUCCUUGGCCAAGGACAAGUGGCUAGGAAAGGACACAGAGGUACCUGCAGGAAAAUGGCGCUUUGGUGAAAGUGUGUGAAACUCACGCCGCUCGCUCGAGCUGUCGAAGCAGCUGAACCACCCGCUCCCGUCCGACCAUCUUGGAACAGGAAGUAAAGUGACGUAAAGGCCCGACAGCAGGACGCGCUGCUUCCGCCUCCGCCCUUCAGAGUAAAGGUCACCGUGAGGGUGGAGCUGGUUGACUAAAGGCUGGAACGAGCGUCAAGCCGAAGGAGAACCAUGUGUGGUGACAUUCAGCUGCUGGAGCUUUACAUAUUCUGUAAUGUCUUAAUGAUUCAGUUAAAAUAGCUCGUAUCUCAUGCAAUAGAAAAAUAAGAAGUCCAUGCAUACAAGUUAAUAAAUGUGUUUGCUGUU